CCUGAUCUUCCUUUUGUUCUAUUUCCUCUUGCCUUUUAAUGUAUAUAUAUAUAUUUAUAUAUCUUUGUGAUUAUGUUAUAUUCACCAGCAGCCUAGCGUUUAGGCCUAGAAAGGAUGGUGUAGCCAAGGAUGACUUGCCGACUCUUCCUCCUCCCAUCAUGAUAAGUGGUCGUCGGCAGGUUGUCUUUGGCUACAUUUUUCUUUCUGCUCCUCAUGCUAGGCUUUUGGUGAUUUUAUCUCUAUCUCAACAUAUUUAUUACUGUUAUCUAAAGAAUCUCCAAUCUACAUAUAUAGCUAGAUUCAUUACAUAGAAUUCAAUUUAUCCAUCUUUUUUCAUUCCAGAAGCUCUUUUAUUUUAUGUACUCAUUAUAUAUAGGUCCUUUUCACCAAAAAGUUGUGGGCUUGAAGAGUUUUCAGUGGAGCAGCCCAGGAUAAGAUGCUAAAACCAACAGUUCUGUUGGAUUAUGAAAAACCUGACAAUGUCCCAAUCAAACACAGCCAUGUUUAGUAGUGUUUAAAAAAAAAUUGAUUCUAAAAGCAUUUUUAGAAAAAAUAUUGUGCUAAAUAAGUUGCUUGAAGCUAAAAUUUUUAGCUAUUCUUUUUCCAAAAGUA